UGCAAGUCGAGGGGUAACGGAAGUAGCUUGCUACUAGACGACGACCGGCGCACGGGUGAGUAACGCGUAUGUAAUCUGCCUUGUACAGAGGGAUAGCCCAGAGAAAUUUGGAUUAAUACCUCAUAGUAUUACUGGAUCGCAUGAUUUGGUAAUUAAAGCUCCGGCGGUACAAGAUGAACAUGCGUGACAUUAGCUAGUUGGUAAGGUAACGGCUUACCAAGGCUACGAUGUCUAGGGGUUCUGAGAGGAUGAUCCCCCACACUGGUACUGAGACACGGACCAGACUCCUACGGGAGGCAGCAGUGAGGAAUAUUGGUCAAUGGACGCAAGUCUGAACCAGCCAUCCCGCGUGAAGGAUGACUGCCCUAUGGGUUGUAAACUUCUUUUAUAUGCAAAUAAACCUACUUUCGUGAAAGUAGCUGAAGGUAGCAUAUGAAUAAACACCGGCUAACUCCGUGCCAGCAGCCGCGGUAAUACGGAGGGUGUAAGCGUUAUCCGGAUUUAUUGGGUUUAAAGGGUACGUAGGCGGUAAUAUAAGUCAGUGGUGAAAUC
rnacentral:rRNA from 1 species